AACAACCAAUCCUGAAUACAGUAAAUCUAUAAUGCGAAAAAGAAAUCGUCGAUUGGUCAAAAUUCGUACAAUAGUGCGGGGGAAGUGAAUGUAUGUUGGUCUGACUCGAACGCGACUACAUCCCCGUGCCAGCGAGCAAGUAGUAACGCUAUCGUUAGAAUUUUGUCUUUUGUUUAGUUUCUUUAUGUUUAUUUUUUCGAGAAGAAGUUGAAUUUAAGAAUCGUGAUAUUAUUGAAACGAACAUCUAAUGUACGGGGAUCUAAUAGAAAGUACGCUAGCACCGGUUCCAUGCUAGAUUUUCAGUGUGCAAGUAGUCGAAAGCGUAUUCAGGCAGCCUUCAACGUAAACAAAAAUGGAGUUAGGGGAGGGAGAAGCUCAAAUUUGUCGACUUUGCGGUCAAUGUGAGAGUAUAUACAUUGAUGUGUUUGGUGAAGAAGGCACAAAACGAUUUUUAGGCUUAAAAAUUCAUACAAGAAUCAACAUUCUGAUAGAUGAAAGGGAUCCUCUGCCCAAGGCGAUCUGUGUUCAAUGUCUGGGCAAACUCGAAUUUGUUUGCGACUUCCAAGAGGAGUGUCUUCGCACCCAACAAGUGUUACGCGAUCGAUACAUUCUACCAUCCUUAACAGAGAUUGCUGAAGUAAAGACUGAAGUUACACCAAGUACAUCAACAUACAAUAACAACAAUGACACCAAUAUAAAUCUUAAUUCUUCAAAUGAUGAGGACAUUCAAAAAGUAGAUCAGCAUGUUCUAAGAACAACUACAAAAAUUCAAAAAAAUACGAAAAAUCAACAAGUAAAAGGCAAUGAAGAAACUUCCAAAGAUCAAACUAAUAUUCAAAAUACGAGUGAAAAAAAUACUGAGAAUGCCCAAAUUCAGAAAUGUGAGACAACUCCUACACGAUGGCUUAGAAGUAGACAAAGUAUAGAAACAACUGUUACAAAUGAAACAGCUACUGAUACACCAAUUGCAAAUAGACUUAGAAGUCAUGAUAAUACUACUACAGAAUUAACUGUUAGUCCACGUAGUUGUUCUAAGGAAAAUAGUGAAAAAUUGACUGGAAAACAGCAAGAUCCACAUACUAUUCAAAUUCCAACAUCAGCAUUAAAUAAACUUCUCAGUAUUGUGUCAAAUUCUCCAAAUAUUGAAGUUUCUGUGAAAGAAUCUAGAAAUCAAAGCAGUGAUAUUGAAGAUAUUAGUUUCACUGUAGAAUUAUGUAAAAAGGAAAGUGAUGAUAUAGCUACUGCUCGAGCACGAGUAUUUCCAGAUCAAGGUUCCUGUUUGGUUGAUAAGGCUAUAGUUGGUCUUUUACAAAAUCAAAGUUGUGUAGAAGUUAAUAGUAUAAUAAACACAAUUAUCGAUAGUAGUCUGAAAAACGGCAAUUCGACAAAAUUAGAAGAUUCCGCUGAAUUUGAGCAAAAAUGGCAAGCUUCUCAAAAUCCGAAGGAACUUUUCAAGAUUGAUGGGGAAGAAAUUCGUGUCGAUGAUAACGUUGAACACGUCGUUACAAAUAAUCAAAAUGGUUAUUCUUGUAAAUUGUGUCGUAAGUUUUAUGAACGCAAAGAUAAAUGUAUGGUUCACGUAAAAACACAUCUUGGUAUUAAACAAUACACAUGUAUUCUAUGCAACGCUAAAUUUGUAUGUAAGUCUGAUGUCAUGAAACAUAUUCGAUGCACACAUACUAAUCCGAGACCAAUACAAUGUCCAAAAUGUCCAAAGAGAUUCAAGUCAAAGUUCUAUUUAAUGGAACACGAUAAUGUACAUAAAGGUGUGAGACCUUAUUCUUGUACAGAUUGCGGUCAAAGUUACCAUCAUAAAGUAUCGUUACAACUUCAUAUGAAAUCACAUUUACCUCCGCAGAACUUAGCAUGCGAAUAUUGUGGCAAAGUAUUUCCGUAUCGUACGAGAUUAUUAAGUCACAUAGCUAGUGUACAUUUAAAAAAUCGUCGCAAUUUUAGAUGUCGAUUUUGUUACAAUCUUUAUUCAAGUCUUUCAGUUUUGAAUGAACAUAUUAAAACGCGUCAUGCGACUACAUAUACUUGUGAAGUUUGCAAUAAAACAUUCAAAGUUGCGUCCAAAUAUAAGGCUCACGUAUUACAGCAUUCAAAUCCUAAGCCAUUCGUAUGCAAUGUUUGUAAUAAUAGAUAUGCAUCCAAAGCAUUCCUAAAUGAACAUCUAUCAAAACACGAAGGGCUGAGGAAACAUAUCUGCCAAAAGUGUGGUGCAAGAUUCGCUCAAGCUAGUCAUCUGGCUGCACAUCGGCACGUGCACGGUGAAAAAGAGCACGCUUGUCCGGAGUGUGGGCGAAAGUUUAAUAGGCGUGAUAACAUGAAGGUAAAAGAGAAUGAUGGAUUGCCACAAGUUGUUUGUAUACGAUGUUUGGGCACACUGGAAUUUCUAUGCGAUUUUUACGAGCGUUGUCAUCUUACGCAAAAGGAAUUUUUAAAAACUAACCAAAAUCAAAAUAUAAUAAAUGAGAAAUUACUGCAAGAUUCUACUAAUGAAACAGAAUCAGAUAAAGAAAACAAUGUUCCAUUUGUAAAUGAAACUAAAUGGAAAACAAAAGUUUUAUCACCCGAUAAUUUAAAAAAAUCAAAAAAUUAUCUGUCUGAAAAUAAUACAUUAUACAGGACUGAAAAUAAAGAGGAAAAUGAUAAUCACAUAGAUAAUAAUAUUUCUAUUGAUAAUGUUCAUUUGAUUACACAAACACAAUUAACCAAUAUAAUUUCUAAAAAUCAAUCUAUAAUAAAAAAUGUAAUUUCACAUGAAAAUAUAUCAAAAAAUGAUCAACAUAAUGUUAGUAAUUUAAAAGAGAAUAUCUAUAAUUUAAAAGAAAAUAUUUUGGAAAAAAAUAUAAAUUACAUACCAAAAUCAACAAAUGACUUAAAUACAUCUCAAAUAAAUGAAACAAAUGUUAAUAUAAAUUUAGAUCAACCUAUACGACGUAAAAGAGGACGAAAAAGUAAAUUAGAAAAAAUGAAAGAAGUAAGUUUAACAACAAACUACAAAAAAAAGAUUCAAAAUCAUUUAAGUGAUAAAAAAAGAGAUAAUGUUAAUAAUGAAUACAAAAGAUAUUGUUUGCGUGCUAUUUGUACAACAACUAACUCUGAUAGUAUAAAUAAUAAUGCUACAGUCACAUCUAAACCACAAAUUAUACAAACAGAAGCUGAACAGAUGCCAGUAAAUACAUCAAUGAAUGCAAAUUACAUCAAAGGUAAUAAAACUGAUACAAUGAUUAAUAAACUAACUAUAAUUGAAUCUGAUAAUAAAAAUUCAAUAAGAUCUAAUAAUUUGAAAGAUACAGAAAAGAAUUCUGAAAAAAAUAAAGCAAUAUCGAUUAAUGUAAAACAAGAGAAAGGGGAAGCAGAAACUUCUAGACAAUUGAAUCAACUAGUUCUUAAUCAAAUACAAAAUCAAAAAUCAAAAGUAAAUCAAGAAAAAACAGAUUUAACAUGUGUAUUAAUGGAAAAAACUGAAAAUAUUAAAAAUAUUGAAACGAAUUUGAUAGCAGAACAAAGUAUUAUUAAAUAUCCUGAUAUAAGAAUUUCUUCCAAUUAUAAUAAUCAACAAUCAAAAAUAUUCACAGAAAAAAAUCGAGUAACUAUUAUAAAAUCUUCACAAUUUAAAGAUGUGACAAAUUUAAAAAUAAUACAAGAAGAUUCUACAAAAUUAAAUAAUACAAUUAAUGUAACAGAUCAAAAUACUAAAACUGAGUUAGAAUGUAAUCUUAAUGAAUGUUCAUUGCCUCAACAAUUAAGUCAAAAUAGUUUUAAAAAUAAAAAUGAGAGUAAAAAUAGAUCAUUUGGCAAAAUUUCCGAAUUGAUAAGUGAUGAACAAAAACGAACUAUUGAAAGUUAUUAUAUAGUGGACAUGUCGAUUGUAAACUCAGAAGAAGUACAAAAAAAUAUAACAAUAAUUAAUAAAAAAAACAUACGUUGCAAUAUUUGUGGUACUUUUUACCUUAGAAUGGAUAAAUGUCAGGUUCAUAUUUGGGGACAUUUACAAAUGAAGCCCUAUCAAUGUAAAGCUUGUGAUUUUGCCACAGUUACUGUUAGUAAUGUUCGUUGCCAUAUCAGAAAAAGUCAUUUAAAGAUUAAACCAUUUGCGUGCCAUCUUUGUGAAAAGCGAUAUGUAACUGCUAUUUUAUUAGAAGAACAUAUUAAUACUCAUACAGGAGCCCGUCCAUAUAAAUGCAAGCUUUGUGAUUUUGCAAGUUCCAGUAGACAAAUAUUAAGUUAUCAUAAUGCUACUCAUAAACCAUUAAAGGAUAUUAGUUGUAAAAUUUGCGGUAAAGAGUUUUAUUCAAGAAGUAGAUUACGUGCACAUAUGAUUGUACACAAUAAGGACAAAGCUGUUAUGUGUAAAUUGUGUUCUGCUUAUUUAUCUAAUGCAGAAGCAUUAAAAACACAUUACAAGAACAUUCAUAUGCAAGAUUAUGUUUGUAAUAUCUGUGGUUCAUGCUGCUGCAAGAUUUAAAUGUACUCUUUGCCCAAAUGUAUAUAAGACUAGCCAAAUAUUAAAAGAACAUCUUUUAAAGCACGAAGGUAUUAGAAAAUAUAAAUGUAAUAUUUGUGAAAAAUCAUUUGGUCAACAAUCUCAUUUAGCUGCUCAUAUGGCAGUGCACAGUAAUAUUAGAUUCCAUUGUCCUGGAUGUGAUAAGCCUUUUAAUCGGCAAGACAAUAUGAAAAUACAUACUAAACGAUGCAAACCAUUUUUGGCAAAUCCAAAUCUAAAAAAUCUUUUAAGUAAAAGAGAAAGAACUAUAUCGUUUAAUAAUAUAGCAGAAUUAACUGCAGAAUUGAAGAAUGAAAAUGUGACAAAUUCAAUAUCUCAAGUUCCUCUCAAAAAUGAGAACGAUAAGAUAUUAGUAAAGACUGUAGAAGAAAAACAAAAGACUGUAAUAAAUCUCUGCAAAUUAGGAUUAAAUAUCUCUUGCAUUAAACCAACAAAUAAUAAAAUGAGUCCAGAUCAUGUUACAAAUUCUUUUGAAAAGAAUGUAAUUAAGA
rnacentral:misc_RNA from 1 species